UGUGAACUGCAGGACACAUGAACAUCGAUAAGUUGAACGCAUAUUGCGCAUCGGGCGACACAGCUCGAUGCACAUAUCUUUGAGUGUCCAUAUUUGAUCAGUGAUGAAACUACGCGCGCCUUCACCGGCGAACGUGCACAAUGGGGUAGCGCUAACACCGUUGCCCUUAAAAACGUGGAGCGUGUUCAACCGUCUUGCGCACCUGCCAACGGUGACCGGCACAGUGGACCCUCACCCACACCCCAUCGCACGAUGUCGUGAUGUGUGUACGGAAUGUCCCAAACUGCCUACCGGACCAGGUCGGAGACGUGCGAUAUCGCAACACCGCUGAUAGGCGCCAGUCGCCAAGCCACUCCUUCAGUGGAGCAUAUGGACCUCAAAUGAUGUGUGACUACCCCCUGAAUUUAAGCAUA
rnacentral:rRNA from 1 species